rnacentral:piRNA from 1 species
UCAAUGCUUUCAUUCCAAAAC